rnacentral:rRNA from 1 species
UACGUAGGGACCAAGCGUUGUUCGGAUUUACUGGGCGUAAAGAGCUCGUAGGCGGUUUGUCGCGUCUGCUGUGAAAACCCGAGGCUCAACCUCGGGCCUGCAGUGGGUACGGGCAGACUAGAGUGCGGUAGGGGAGAUUGGAAUUCCUGGUGUAGCGGUGGAAUGCGCAGAUAUCAGGAGGAACACCAAUGGCGAAGGCAGAUCUCUGGGCCGUAACUGACGCUGAGGAGCGAAAGCGUGGGGAGCGAACAGG